rnacentral:lncRNA from 1 species
UUUAAAAAGUGGUCAAAAUCUUUCGUCAGAUGAAACUGAAAUUUGCGGCCAAAAUCGGUCCUUACCGGACCUACUCCUUUACAUAUUUACACUAUUUACACAAUGUUCGCCUAUUGGUCUUUUCCUGCUUACGUAGAAACAUACAAAGAAAGGACUUCCAAUGAUCCAAUGCAACAUUUCCAAUUAUUUUGUUCCCAACUGAAUGAUAAUAUAUUUGCAGUAAGUUCCUGUCAGUAAUCUAUGAAAUCAAUUGAUAAAAUUUCCGCAUAUGUACCAUAACAAGUAUAAAAAAAAAAUGAACUCGAUGGAAAAUUGAAAAAAGAAAGCCCAUAAAAACUGUCAAAAUCAGGACCAUAGUAAGUAAUAUUUGUUUUUGUGAAUAUCAGAGUACUGCUGACUGUUGAAGACCUAAAUUAACUGUAAAGAUCAAGGACAACAAUAAAUGCUUUAAUUCUUCAUUACAGAAAAGCUAUAUUUCACUUUUGGUUUUAAAUACUUCACCAAUCGAAUCAAUCUCAUGUUUUUUUUCCUAAAUUGACAGUGGAAUUUUUAUUUAUAAAGUAUUGCAUUGUCUAAAGGAAGCCCUUUCCGUGCAUUUUUCGUAGCAGAACUGUCUAUGAUGCACUUUACGACGGUCGAUCAAAAUCUUGUAUUGUAAAUGUACAGUUUUUGAAGCAGAAAAGUAAUAGUAGCAUAUAAAAUAAUUUGAGUUCAAGAGCAAGGACUAAAUACGACCAAUAUCAGUCCAAUUCCGUCGAAAACAUUUAAAACAGAAACUUACUUAUUCAUUAAAAACUUGAAAAUAUUUUAUUUCAUUAAUUGCCAAAUUUGAUUAAAAUAUAUUUAUAAUAAAAUCCAAACUGUGACAAAAAAAUAAUUCCUGUUACGUUUUAAGGUUUGUAUACUGGUUUAACAUACAAGAAAUAUUUGAGUCAGAAAAGAUAACAUUCUUUUUAGAUUUUAAAACAAUCAUUUGGUAUACAAGUGAAUCAAAUUUUGAUGAUCGGAUCGACCUUUGACAAAAGAUCUUAAAACAAAACCAACCUUCAGACUGUAUCAAACUUUUAUCAGACAUUUAGGAGAUGAUUGCAUGCCACUUUGUCGUGUUUAUGCAUAGACAUCCCACAUAACAACUGUAUAUGGUUACAUAAUUAUACAUAUCAUAUACAUGUUGGGUAAAGUAUCAUCAAUUGCAAACAGAUAGAACCUCUUAUAAAGGGUAUCUCCUGUAUGCACAGCAUGACAUCUUAUAUUCCGUAUACCGUAGUAAAAUAAUAACACUAAUAUUUACUAUAGUGUAUCAAAAUCUAACGGCAUCACGCACCAAAUGCCUCUGGUCCCAUCAUACUUCUCUUAACCAAGAGUUGCUGAAUACGUAUUAAAAAUCUUUUUUAACACAGAACUAAUUAUGUAAAGACAUUGUUUCCAUCUUCUUUAAUACAGAAAAAUUCACUUACGUGGCACGGUUAUCUUUCUGAUAUGAAUUUGUCAGACUAAUCAUCAAUUUGUAAAAAAAAAGUUUCUUUAGUGUAUAUAACGUCACUUGCGCGUCCUUAGAACUUUUGAAAAAUUGAAACACAUCUGCAGUACUUACAGCUUUGGUAAAGUUUACAUUUUUCCUUGAGUAAUUUUGUUUCUCAAAUAUUUUAGUUUUUCGUAAGCUUUUUCAAAGAUCAUAGACAUAUGCAACUCUGGUUUUUAGCGAAGAGUGGACUGACUCUCGGGCAUUUUGGAUUUAUUAUAUUGGUAGAAAUCGAUCAUUUAUACAACAUGUUAGUAUCAAUCGAUACUACAUAUAUGUAUUAUUGCCAAUCGAUACCACAUUAACACGUGUCUCUGAAAUGACAUUUUUUUUACAUUUGUAAAAUAUUGAUUAUUUUCCAAACGCAUAUAUGUCAAAUUCUUUAGACUUUAUGUUAAAAAUUAAA